rnacentral:rRNA from 1 species
UACAGAGGGUGCUAGCGUUGUUCGGAAUUAUUGGGCGUAAAGGGCGCGUAGGCGGCCCUGUGUGUCGGGUGUGAAAGCCCACCUCUUAAAGGUGGAAUUGCAUUCGAAACUACAGGGCUGGAGUGUCGGAGAGGAUGGCGGAAUUCCUGGUGUAGAGGUGAAAUUCGUAGAUAUCAGGAGGAACACCGGUGGCGAAGGCGGCCAUCUGGACGACAACUGACGCUGAGGCGCGAAAGCGAUGG